UUAAACAAGUUGAUCAGUAAAGUAAUACAAGGCUUUAGCCCAGAGAGAUAACGGUUGGUGGAAGUUAUCGUAAACACCCUGUGUGAAAAUGAACUGUGAUUGGCAAUGGUGAGUAGCAAGUCUAUCAGCCGUUGACGGAUUGGUCUACGUUACAAGACACGCGAAUCGGUCGGCAUCAUUUUGUUGGACCCGCUCGUUGUUGAGGCAUUAGUGUGUAAACAUUAGUGUGAAGUAGAAUGGUACCACGGACACCCGUUUCUAUC
rnacentral:ncRNA from 1 species